rnacentral:lncRNA from 1 species
AAGUUUUGUGACAUCAAAUGCGCCGCAAGAUUACAAUGCUUAUGCUCAAUAUUCCAAUUCUACCGAUCCUUAUGGUUAUGCAAAUGCCGGUUACCAAGGUUACUAUAACAACUAUCAGCAGCAACCCAACCAUUCUUAUUCACAGCCUGUAGGAGCAUAUCAAAACACAGGUGCUCCUUAUCAGCCCCUUUCCUCAUAUCAAAAUACAGGGUUUUAUGCUGGGUCUACAAGUUAUUCAACCACUUACUACAAUCCUGGUGAUUAUCAGACAGCUGGAGGUUACCCAACUAGCAGCUAUAGCAAUCAGACUACCUCAUGGAAUGGUGGCAAUUAUGGAAAUUAUGUUCCUAAUCAAUAUGCUCAGUACACACCUGAUUCGAGUGGAGCUUAUAGUUCCACUUCUACAAAUGAAAGUUCUCUACAGUAUCAGCAGCAAUGCAAGCAGUGGGCCGACUACUAUAGUCAAACAGAAGUUAGCUGUGCCCCUGGGACUGAGAAACUGUCCACUCCGAGUAUUGCUAAUGCAGGGUAUCCCGCUCAUGGUUCAACCAAUUAUCCUGCACCACACAGCCAACCACCUCCACCGUCAUAUACUCCAUCAUGGAGACCAGAAUCUGGUUCAUCUGAACUGGUUUCUGCUCAGGUUUGAAUUUCGUUUCUACCAUGUACAUGAUUGGAAUUACUUCUUGUGGAAGGGCAUGUACAUUGUUUAAUACUGCUUAGUGUAUAUGUGUUAUAAUUGAUGCAAGGUUUAUUUGUUCUAUCUUGAUCAUAUAUUUCAUGCCUCUGCAGAGCCAUGAUAGGAUGGCCAAGUGGGUGAUUCUGUUAGUACUAGUUCUGUUAGUUUAACCACGAUGAUCUAUAUUAUCUUUCUGCUCUCUCUUUUUUUUCAAUCUUAUUUUUAUGGCUCUUUAGUUGUUUGGACCCUGAAGCAUGUUGUCCCCUGUAGACUCUUCGUAUUUAAAUUUUGACUUUGAUGGUUUGAUAAAAAGUUGGCGAAUGGUUUCUGUUAUAUUUCUAAUCGUUGUUUUUUUCUACUGGGAACUCGAAUUUCUGCUCUUAAUAGUUAUAUGAUUUGCAUUGAUGUUGAUUACUUUCUUGGUAUCCUUCGUUGCAAUUUAUUGUGGGCAAUGCUUAAACUAUGUGGUUAUUUAUAUUUAUCAAAUCUGCAAAGGUUAUUUGGUCAGUUGAACCAUUAUUCUUUUGCCCUUUUUUCCAGCCUGGUGCUGUAAGUAGUGGUAAUCAUGAUGGUUACUGGAAGCAUGGGGCUCCAAAUUCUCAAGUGCACCUUACUAAUGCUACUCAACCUCACUUUGAAAAGCCUCUAGAUUUAAAAAAUUCUUAUGAUAGCUUUCAGGAUCAACAGAAAAGUGCAGGUCCCCAGGGGCCCAAUUUACAAUAUCCAGCACAUUUGGCUCCACAAAGUUAUCAGUUACCCUCACAAUCUGUUUCACCUGUAGAAGCUAGAAGGACCAAGCUGCAGAUUCCAACAAACCCUAGGAUUGCUUCCAAUUUAAGCAUACUAAAAACCAGUAAGGAUAGCUCCACAGCUGAUGCUCCUGUACAACCUGCUUACGUCAGUGUUUCGUUGCCGAAGCCAAAU